rnacentral:rRNA from 1 species
UACAGAGGUCUCGAGCGUUGUUCGGAUUCACUGGGCGUAAAGGGUGCGUAGGUGGCAUGGAAAGUUUGAUGUGAAAGCUCAGGGCUUAACCCUGAAAUGGCAUUGAAUACUGCUGUGCUGGAGGUUUGGAGGGGGGACUGGAAUUCUUGGUGUAGCAGUGAAAUGCGUAGAUAUCAAGAGGAACACCAGUGGCGAAGGCGAGUCCCUGGACAACACCUGACACUGAGGUACGAAAGCUAGGGGAGCAAACAGG